GACGGGGGGGCAAGGUGUUCUUCGGAAUGACUGGGCGUAAAGGGCACGUAGGCGGUGAAUCGGGUUGAAAGUGAAAGUCGCCAAAAAGUGGCGGAAUGCUCUCGAAACCAAUUCACUUGAGUGAGACAGAGGAGAGUGGAAUUCGUGUGUGAGGGGUGAAAUCCGUAAAUAUACGAAGGAACGCCAAAAGCGAAGGCAGCUCUCUGGGUCCCUACCGAGGCUGGGGUGCGAAAGCAUGGGGAGCGAACAG
rnacentral:rRNA from 1 species